CCGUGAUAAAGUAGCAUAAUCACUCGUCAUUUAAUUGGUGACUGGAAUGAAUGGUUACACGAAUCUUUAACUGUCUCAAGAAGAAAGUUCAAUUAAUUUGAAAAAACAGUGAAGAUGCUGUUAACAAAAUUGUAAGACGAAAAGACCCUUUCGAGCUUUACUAUAAGCUUAUAGAAAAAAUCUUUAAUAAAAAUAUAAUAAAAACAAACUGUAAGCUAGUUAGUUUGGUUGGGGCGACCACCUCUAAAACAGUAUCAGAGGAAAUCUAAAGGUAUAAUAGUAAUAUUAAUUGCCUUACUGUAUACAAACAAGUUAAUCAGUUACUAUUAUGUAGGAUAUAGUGACCCGUUGAAUUAAUUUCAAAAUUCAACGACCAUGAAAAAAGUUACCGUAGGGAUAACAGGGUAAUAUUAUCAAAGAGUUCAUAUCGAUGAUGAU
rnacentral:rRNA from 1 species